GGCUGUAUUUAUGGAUAAGGUGCUCAUCAUAGCAAGCUUUUGUGACAUUGUACACGUUCUCAUUACCACUCAAAUGACUACUUUUUACAUUAAUCCUUAAUAGCAACUUCAUGUCCAAGGCCGUCUUCAGCACCUCCGGGUUUCUCUGACUUUGUUUGCACUCAACCCUACAAUUUGGCUUGCUUCGGUAUCCCACAACACUACACACAUACUUCCAGUUGCAUCGGAAACAUAAGCUUGAAGCUUAUACCGCAAGUCUACCUGAACGGCCUUCUUGCGGCAAUGAUCCCUUUUCUGAGCUCAUCAAUAGCAGAUCGAUAUGAACUGGAUGACAUAUGACUUAUCCUCUGGGAUGAAAAACAACUAUCACCUUGAGUGCUGUCCACCAAACUAUAUAACAGAAGAUUGAGUAAAUUUACAUGAUAUUUUAUUACUACAAACUUAUUAACAGAUAUAUACCUCUUUUUAAAUAGUUCGGCCUCUUUAAUAUUGGGAUUUAUGUGGAUGUUAGAUGUGUCAAAACUACUCUGAAUACUAAUCUUUCCUGAAGAUCAAGACAAAACAAUAAAUAUCUGCAUUAUUCUAAAAAGCAUCUUUAUUUAACAUUUUAAAUCAUUUAUGUAUUUAGAUUCAUACCAUUCCAUUCCUUUGCUCUAAAUAGUUGGAAUGCAACUAUGAGAGGUUCAGUCUUAUCACCAUCUAAAUAGGGUUGGAUCAAAUCUACCAGUGAACCAAAUAGGGUACAACUGAUAGAAUUCUUCCUGAUAUAUUGUAAGUUGUUAGCAUGUUUGAUAACAAUUAAAUGAGUUGUACAUCAACCUGAUUGUCAUAAGGCUUUAAAUACACAACACUUACUCAAGGUCCUCCACUAACAGCCCUAACCGCUUGCUUUCCUGCCCUUGCUUGGUAACCAAAUCCUUUGGGUCCUCCUUCCCUAUAACCUCUGCUAGCACAUCUAUAAUGCAAAAAGAUGCUUUAUGUUAAUGGAUAAAUCAUAAAAAAAAAACAUUAAACAGAGUCUGGAUUAAACCAUUACCAAAAA